rnacentral:rRNA from 1 species
AACGUAGGAGACAAACGUUAUCCGGAGUUACUGGGCGUAAAGGGCGUGCAGGCGGUCUGUUAAGUCUAGGGUGAAAGCUCCCGGCUCAACUGGGAGAGGUCCUUGGAUACUGGCGGACUUGAGGGAGGCAGAGGAAAGUGGAAUUCCCGGUGUAGCGGUGAAAUUCGUAGAUAUCGUAAGGAAGACCAGUGGCGAAGGCGGGUCUCUGGACAGUUCCUGACGCUGAGGCACGAAGGCCAGGGGAGCAAACGGG